UUAUAGCUCAGCAGUAGAGCAUCUGCGUGGGAUGCAGAGAGUCCCAGGUUCAAUCCCUGGCUGGAAAU